GGGGUUGUGAAUCAGUGGUAGAGCGCUUGCCUAGCACGCAUGAGGCACUGGGUUCGAUCCUCAGCACCACA
rnacentral:tRNA from 1 species